UACGAAGGGGGCUAGCGUUGCUCGGAAUGACUGGGCGUAAAGGGCGCGUAGGCGGUUUGCAAAGUCAGACGUGAAAUUCCUGGGCUUAACCUGGGGGCUGCGUUUGAUACGUGCGGACUUGAGUGGGGAAGAGGGUCGUGGAAUUCCCAGUGUAGAGGUGAAAUUCGUAGAUAUUGGGAAGAACACCGGUGGCGAAGGCGGCGACCUGGUCCUUGACUGACGCUGAGGCGCGAAAGCGUGGGGAGCAAACAGG
rnacentral:rRNA from 1 species